rnacentral:rRNA from 1 species
UACAUAGACCUCAAGCGUUAUCCGGAUUUACUGGGCGUAAAGGGCUCGUAGGCGGCCAACUAAGUCGGAUGUGAAAUCCCCAGGCUUAACCUGGGAAUUGCAUCCGAUACUGGAUGGCUUGAAUCCGGGAGAGGGAUGCGGAAUUCCAGGUGUAGCGGUGAAAUGCGUAGAUAUCUGGAGGAACACCGGUGGCGAAGGCGGCAUCCUGGACCGGCAUUGACGCUGAGGAGCGAAAGCCAGGGGAGCAAACGGG